UUGUGCUGAUUGUGGUCUGAAGUUCAAACAUGAACAUAUUUCAGAACGUGUCUUUAAAUAAUUAUGUUAAUCUUGUAUUGACUCCAGGCCUGUUCAGAUUUAGCAGAUACUGCGUGUCAGCAGAAGGGUGGAGCUUCAGUUGUUUAGGGAGGAGUUAGGCAACAUUAAGCCCCUCCUCCACUAGUCCCAGCAGUUUUGUUGGAAUACUGUCACGAGGUCUGCGGUUGGAGUCAAACAGCAUGGGAUUGAGAGGACAGAUAUUGGGAAUCUCGGAGGAGGAAUCUACUUCAGUGACUCUCUGAAGACUAGUGUGAAAUACUCCAGGCCCAGUGAGACUGACGGCUCUCGGCUGCUGUUGGUGUGUGAAGUGGCGUUGGGUCGGUGUAAGGACCUGCUGAAGAAAGACAGCACUUUGACUUGUGCUCCUGACGGCUACCACAGAGUUCAUGGAGUCCAAUGCUGAAUUUGAGCUGCUUUUCUUACUCGUUUUCUGUGUGCUUAAAUGUCCCGCUUGUGUUUUUGGGAUCUCCCUGCUGGAAAAACCAGCAUAGACCAGCAUAUGUUGUGUUUUGGUGCUGGUGACCAGCAUGGGAUGCUGGUGGUAUCCCAGGUAGCCAAAAUUAUCUGGCCCGAUAACGGCCCAAAUCCAGCAAGCCGGAAGAAAUAGCUCGGACCGGAUGCGGUCACCGGACUCUUGUGAAUUACGGGAGUGAAUGACGCGCUAGAAUCGGCCCGAGUAUGCUGGUCCGAGUCCGGUUGCCGAAACUGAGCCAACACUGCCGGCAUCGGGCCACAAUCACGCCAGCAUAAAUUAUACAAUUAGCCGGUACUGGCCCGAGUCUGGAUACCAAAUGGAAAUGUAUAUGAAAUACAAACCAAUAUUCAUUUAAUUAAUAACAACAACAAAAUUUACCAAAACAAUAUUAUAUAUAUAUAUAUAUAUAUAUAUAUAUAUAUAGUCUACAUGGAUAAGAACUGUUCAUGUAAUUAAUUGGUUCUCUAAAAACUACAAAAAAAUUUAUUAUUAAAGCCAGUAUUUUUUUUUAACAAUGUUGUUUCCACAAAUAUCACACACACACACACACACACACACACACACACACACACACACACACACACACACACGUGCAGUUCCCCCUUCAAUACCCCCCAGUUGGAAUGACACCAUAUAAAUGUCAAAUUUUCAAUAAUAAAUUCUCAUAGUUUUUACAUCAACAAAUGCAUAAAAAACACUUUAGAACCUCUAAGAACUCCCAGGACCUCAAGUUUAUCCUAAAAGAGGACAGAAAAAAGGAAAGAGAGAUAAAGAGGGGAUACAUAUAGACACAUAGUUAGUCAGAUCUCAGUGAACUCAAUGGUAAAUGGUAAAUUUGGAGCAUACCUUAAGAAGAAUUUCUUUGUUGUAGGACCUGCUCUCUUCUUCCAUGCCUUCUGUUUAUAAACUUCUCAGUUUCUCCAUCCAGCACACUGCAGUAUUUGCAGAAAAAUAAAUAAAUAUUUAUAAAAAAUAUAUAUCAGAAUCAGAAAGAGCUUUUAUUGCCAAGUAUGCUUGCACAUACAAGGAAUUUCUUUUAGUGUCAAAAGCUUCCAGUUCACAGAGACAACAACGACACACAGACAAUAAAAAUAAGAUGAGAAUAAAAAAAAGCAUUUAACUGUUCUGUAGAUUGCCUGGGGGAAGAAACUGUUCUUGUGCCUGGCUGUCCUGGUAUAUGUGUGUGUGUGUGUGUGUGUGUGUGUGUGUGUGUGUGUCAGUCUGGUAUAUGUGGCACAAGUUUGCCUAUUUAAACAUGAAGCUGGUUUUCCUAACUUAGCAUAAAGACCAGGUAGGAAGAAAAAGUAAAUCACAAAAAUAUAAGAAAUGUAGCAGGAACAUUAUUACACUAUUCACAUAGUAUGUUGUGUAAUUAAAUAAUUACAAUUCACAAACAAACUACAAAAAACAUAACUUUUAAAACAGAUCAGAUAAUGCAAGCCUGUUAAAUAAAUAAAUAAAUAACUGCUGCAUGACAUAUAUUUAAUGAACCUAAAUAAAAAGCAGACAGUCAGUUUAAAAAUAUAUACUUACAAAGCCAAAGCCUGUGCUGUGGUGUGGUGUGGUGUGCUGUGCUGUGGUGUGGUGUGCUGUGCUGUGCUGUGCUGUGCUGUGCUGUGCUGUGGUGUGGUGUGCUGUGCUGUGCUGUGCUGUGGUGUGCUGUGCUGUGCUGUGGUGUGCUGUGCUGUGCUGUGCUGUGCUGUGCUGUGCUGUGCUGUGGUGUGCUGUGCUGUGCUGUGGUGUGCUGUGCUGUGCUGUGGUGUGGUGUGCUGUGCUGUGCUGUGCUGUGCUGUGCUGUGGUGUGGAGGCUUUGGGGUGCAGCAGCUACUGACACACAAACAAAGGGGAGCAAAAGAAAAAGCGUCACUCAAUAUCAGAUAAUGUUUGUACAAACUGAACAUGGCAAAUCCAAGAUGCAGGAUGACUGCUUGACUGAUAACUUACAACAAUCGGAUGACAAUCUGAAAAAAGAAAGAAAAAAAUAAUAAAUAUUUUCAUUAUUGAAAAUAAUUAUAAUUUUACUUGAAUAUGACUUUUAUUUCUUCCCUGGUGUAUACACAUGCAUACAUGUUUUACUUUUAUUGUAAUUAUUUGUUAUUAAAAAAGCAGAAAUAUUAUUAUUUUUACUAUUAUUAUCUCUUAAGGAUAGGCUACAUUGGCUUGUGUGAGUCUUCUGUCUCUCGCUCGCUCUACCACACACGCUGAGAGAGAGAGAGAGAGAGAGAGAGAGAGCGUUCAGUGUGCGUCAGUGUCGCGCGCUCUCACUCAGACAAAUCUGUGGGACAACACUGCUUAAAUGUGAAAAUAUUAAUUGUAAAAUGAAUAUAUAGGCUACAUUUUUUUAAACUAACGUUACCUUGACCGACAUGAAUGUGAAACGAAAGGAGGUUUUCUCAGUUCUAGCAGAUCUGCGCAAAUGACGUCACACAGAUAUAACGGCUUUGACGGUAAUUAACGGAGCUGAAGAGCGGGCCGUACAAAAUAAAGACGGAAAGGCUCCUUUAUGUGAGCAGUAGGCUUAUGGUACAUUUAAAUGACAGGCCGUCGAUUUUAUACUUAUGUACACAAAACAUACUUUACCUCGUGAAAGCUCUCCCGUCAGUCGACGUCCACUCAGAGUCCGGCUGUGCGCGUCACGUGACGACCGCAGCUUAUAUAACCUCCGGUUCUUUCGCGGGCUUUGCACGUGAGGUGUAAAAUAGUUAAAGUUAAAUUUAUAUCUAUUGAUUGAUUUUUUUUUUUUUUUUAAUAAUCUAAGAUGUAGGCUACAUUUAAAUCAUUACCUCGUUAUAUUUUCCCUGGCAAAAAAAAAAAAUUAAAGUAAAUUACACGCGCAUGUUUGUUUUUUGUGAAAAGUGGGGACUCUCCAUAGGUGUAAUGGUUUUUAUACUGUACUUACUGUAUGUGCUAUUGUCCUACACCAACCCUACACCUAAACCUACCCCUUACAGGAAACUUUCUGCCAUUUCAGAUUUUCAAUACACUCCACUCUGUGUGAUUUAUAAGCGUUUUGAAAAGUGGGGACAUGGGUCAAUGUCCUGAGAUGCCACCUUCUCCUUGUAAUACCUGACAUACCCUCGUCAUUAUACACAUCUAUGUCCUGAUUUGUCACAAAAACACAGUAGCCGUUCACUGCAGAACAAAGAUCCAGGGGGCGGGGUUGGAUCCACAUCCAGGGGGUGGAGAUGGGUGGGUUUAGGUAAAUGUAAGGUGGGAGGAGUUGGAUCUAGAUCCAACCACACCCCCUGGAACUUGUGUUCUGCAGUGAGGACCAUCUCCAAACGCGCAUGCAUACACACUGCAACACCUCCUUUCUUUAAGAUGUUACUCUGAGGGGGUUCAACAGAAAUUUGAUCGGUACUGAAUAAAACCACUUCUCCAAACAAAUAAUUUUAUAGUUCUAAUUUAUUCUUCCCCCAAAAGGUGUACAUAUACCCACACAGGUGCAAAAAUCAACAAAUAAACCAUGCAUCGAUUCAUAAGCACUUUGUCUUAUAACUGCGUCAAUGAAGUGAAACUUAUCGUUCCUGUACAGAUGAUGUACGAGAAGUUAUGAGAGAUGAGUCGAUGUUUAAAGCCACAAAGAUAUUUUGAGUGCGAUGCAAUGUUAUGAAUCCUAACACCCUCUGUAUCGUUGGCGUUCAGAGUGUCGCUGUCCUGGGUGUCGCGUUGGAUGACCACAUGCGGUAGCUCUAACACUGCGUGGGCCUCCGAAGACACUACCUCUCGUAUACAGCGGUGAUUAGAUGCAGCCGAUCAAUGACACAUGAAGAAAGAAAGGUGUAGACAUAGGCAUUUAAAGUCCUUUCUAAAGAAAAACAAACGGCUGACAUCAGUGAUUACAUUUUGCAAACAUGUCAGGCAAAUAAAUCAUCCAUACUCACAGCUGAGCAAAAACUCCAAGAGUUCUCAACUAAGGACUUUAGUAGAGCAAGCAGGUAGCAUACGUUCAACCAAAUGGUUUCCCUCUACCAAACAAACUCACUUACUCUACUGCGUCCGAGCUUAUAUGCCCGGUUACCUCCAGGCACUAGCGCCCUCAAGCUGCUCCUAGUGGUACUACAUUCAACCAGACACCUCUUAAGCAAAAUAAGUGAAAAUACAAUAAAAAAAAAAAGAAACAGGUAAUGGUUAGACUGUUACAACACACACACACACACACACACACACAUAUAUAUAUAUAUUGUUACAGUUAUUAAUAAUAAAGUUUCACUCACUGAUUUCAGAAGAUGGCAGCAGAGAAUCACUUAUUGGCUCAUUCUACCCACUAACCUAAGUUUUUCUGUGGUACUUUUAUUUGGACAUAAUAAAAUCACUACUAUAACAUCUGAAAUCAUAUUUUGUAAAACUUCUUACUGAGGUAUCAGUUUUUGCAAUCACACACAGUCAGAAAGUGUCAAUUUAGAGUAAGGGAACAUUUUUAAAUUAUAAGCAAAGUCCAUUUGAGGUCAGCCUACAAAUUAAUAGAAAUAUUAAUUAAAAUAAUAAUAAAAUUGAAUAAAUAACUUUGACAGGCAAAAGGUUUGACAACUCUAAAGUGUUUUGUUUAAAAAUAUAUAUUUUUGUAAUUUUAUAAUUCAGCCUAAUUGAUUGAUUGUGUGUGUACAGGUUUAAUUUCCAAAGUGUGGACCAAAUAUUCAGAUAAGGAGCAAAUAAGGAGUAAAACUUGAAUUUUUGACAUUUUAGGACUGAGACUUCUGGCCCGCAGUCGGGCUGAAUGUGGCUAAAUGUGCCGUUUCUCAACCAGAAUCGGGCCAGAUCCACAGAUCCAAAACCUAGCCAAAUCUGGCAACCAUUACUGGGCUGGACCUGGCUCAAUUCUGGCAAGCCGCUGCCAGCACACAGCCGAGUGAGCCGACACUCAGCCACAUUCGGCCCGAUUCCGCUGGCUACCUGGGAUGCUGGUGACCAGCAUGGGAUGCUGGUGUAAUGCUGGUGACCAGCAUCACCAGCAAGACCAGGCUGGUAAACCAGCAUCACCAGCAAGACCAUGCUGGUAGACCAGCAUCACCAGCAAGACCAGUAGACCAGCAUCACCAGCAAGACCAGGCUGGUAGACCAGCAUCACCAGCAAGACCAUGCUGGUUGACCAGCAUCACCAGCAAGACCAGGCUGGUAGACCAGCAUCACCAGCAAGACCAGUAGACCAGCAUCACCAGCAAGACCAGUAGACCAGCAUCACCAGCAAGACCAUGCUGGUUGACCAGCAUCACCAGCAAGACCAUGCUGGUUGACCAGCAUCACCAGCAAUACAAUGCUGGUAGACCAGCAUCACCAGCAAGACCAGUAGACCAGCAUCACCAGCAAGACCAGGCUGGUAGACCAGCAUCACCAGCAAGACCAGUAGACCAGCAUCACCAGCAAGACCAGGCUGGUAAACCAGCAUCACCAGCAAGACCAUGCUGGUAGACCAGCAUCACCAGCAAGACCAGUAGACCAGCAUCACCAGCAAGACCAGGCUGGUAGACCAGCAUCACCAGCAAGACCAUGCUGGUUGACCAGCAAGACCAUGCUGGUUGACCAGCAUCACCAGCAAGACCAGGCUGGUAGACCAGCAUCACCAGCAAGACCAGUAGACCAGCAUCACCAGCAAGACCAUGCUGGUUGACCAGCAUCACCAGCAAGACCAUGCUGGUUGACCAGCAUCACCAGCAAGACCAUGCUGGUAGACCAGCAUCACCAGCAAGACCAUGCUGGUUGACCAGCAUCACCAGCAAUACAAUGCUGGUAGACCAGCAUUGUCUUGCUGGUCCACCAGCUAAACCAGCACCAAACCAGCAUAUACCAGCAUAAACCAGCAUGGAAAUUAUGCUGGUCUAUGCUGGUUUUUCCAGCAGGGCUGAUGUGUGUUUGUAUUUAAACAGGAUGAUGAGUUUGUGGUCUAUAACACAGAGCAGAUCAGACUGAAGUAUGUGGUGCAGUACAGUCUGGAGGGAGACGAGUUAAAAGAGUUCCAGCCUCAUAUUAACACUCAGCUCACAGCUUACAGACACAACGGCUGGCGUCUUGUCCAGUGACGACAGUGAGGGUCUGGAGUCCACUAAGAGUCCUCUGGAGAAGAUGAACGCAGGUUUGCUGGACAGCAGUGGUCAGAAACCUCCUCUACAGGCUGUCAAUGUGAGGUGCAAGCUGAUAGACCUGCUGUGUCAGAUCAUCAUAUUUCAGACCUACACAAACCAGAGUGCUGUUCCCUUUGAAGCGAAUAAUGUGUUUCCACUCCAUGACUGCAGAGAUCUUCAAAAGCCUAAAGCCACACAAGGAAACUCUCAGAAGAACUUCCAGCGCGUCAUCACGCAAACAACCAAUCACCGCGGGGUUUCCCAAAAGCACGUCAUCCAACGACCCAUCGCCAUCCAAUCCGCAGCCCCGGGAUUCCCUCAGACAAGCCAUCGAGGAAGCCCGCUCCGUAAAUCUCCUCUUCAGUGUGUGUGUGUAUGUGUUCAUUGAUUUAGUCCCAUGUGUUUAGCUUAGUAAUGUGUUAGAAUAGCUCCAAUAAACUCAUGUUUCAUUUAUAAAGAAGUAUUGUCUUGUGUUGUGUAUUUUAAACUAAACAUUUGCCCAGAUCUUGUGUUAACUUGCUCACAAAUAACUAAAAUACCAGUUUUGUGUUAUUACUGUUGGCCACGGAAUAAGCAGAUUUGGUAAGAUACACUAAAGUUGACUAAGACGCUGGACGAAUAGUUGAUGAAGUGUAAGCUGUAGAUUUUUAAUCAGUUCAAUUAAAUCAAAAUCGCAACGGAUCAGUCAGGUCCAAUUCCCUAAGAAGAUAAAAUUUGAGUUAAUUUCUUACAAUGUAUAUAUCCUUAUACUCCAUCAAU